rnacentral:rRNA from 1 species
UACGGGGGGGGUAAGCGUUGUUCGGAAUUACUGGGCGUAAAGGGCUCGUAGGCGGCCAACUAAGUCAGACGUGAAAUCCCUCAGCUCAACUCCAGAACUGCCUUCGAUACUGGAGAGCUUGAGUCCGGGAGAGGUGAGUGGAACUGCGAGUGUAGAGGUGAAAUUCGUAGAUAUUCGCAAGAACACCAGUGGCGAAGGCGGCUCACUGGCCCGGUACUGACGCUGAGGUGCGAAAGCGUGGGGAGCAAACAGG